UUACAUCAGAACCCCUGUACCCCAGAAAUGAAUCAGGUUGCAGAGAAAAAGGAUGGCGUCUUGUGUAUCCAAAAUCCCAUCUCAGAGGCUAUCUAUAUAACCUGAGAGCUCCUACUCUAACCAGAACUUUAGGGCAGAAAUUGGGAAGUCUGAGGGAAAAGGCUUUCAGAUGCAGACAGCUACCGAAUUUGCUUACUCUCACGUGCUUUGAUGGGARACUUGGCCUAUUUGUUCCAAAGCCCUGAGGAGAGGGGAAUCUGCAUUUCCCUGAGAGGAAGAUAUGACAAAGUUCCAGGAGACAUGAAUGAAAGUUCUGUGGAAAACCAAGAGAAAGAACUUCAGGAUCUGUUAUGGCAUCUACUGGCUAAUUUUGAAAGAGAUGACAAUAUAAUACCUGGAAUCUGGAUUAUAAACCCUUAAAGAAGUACAUGGGGAUCCUGAGAUAUUUCCCUGUGUCAAAAGUGGAGAGAAGCAUCUUGUCAUAGUUCCAGAAACAGGAAUAGUGUAGUUACUCUUCAAAGUGAUGAUUUCAGAAACAUUGCAAAUGAAAUAUAUUUG
rnacentral:lncRNA from 1 species